AUUGAACGCUGGCGGAAUGCUUUACACAUGCAAGUCGGGCGGCAGCGCGGGGGCAACCCUGGCGGCGAGCGGCGAACGGGUGAGUAACACGUGGGUGACCUGCCCUCAGCUCUGGGAUAAGCCUGGGAAACCGGGUCUAAUACUGGAUAUGACUCCAUGACGCAUGUUGUGGGGUGGAAAGCCUUGUGCGGCUGAGGAUGGGCCCGCGGCCUAUCAGCUUGNGGUGGGGUGAUGGCCUACCAAGGCGACGACGGGUAGCCGGCCUGAGAGGGCGACCGGCCACACUGGGACUGAGACACGGCCCAGACUCCUACGGGGAGGCAGCAGUGGGGAAUCUUGGGCAAUGGGCGCAAGCCUGACCCAGCAAUACCGCGUGAGGGA
rnacentral:rRNA from 1 species